CAGCCGCCGCGGUAAUACGUAGGUGGGAAGCGUUGUCCGGAAUUAUUGGGCGUAAAGGGCUCGCAGGCGGUUUCUUAAGUCUGAUGUGAAAGCCCCCGGCUCAACCGGGGAGGGUCAUUGGAAACUGGGAAACUUGAGUGCAGAAGAGGAGAGUGGAAUUCCACGUGUAGCGGUGAAAUGCGUAGAGAUGUGGAGGAACACCAGUGGCGAAGGCGACUCUCUGGUCUGUAACUGACGCUGAGGAGCGAAAGCGUGGGGAGCGAACAGGAUUAGAUACCCCUGUAGUCCCUGUCUCUUAUAC
rnacentral:rRNA from 1 species